rnacentral:rRNA from 1 species
AGCGAACGUUAGCGGCGGGCCUAACACAUGCAAGUCGAGCGAGAAAAGGGCUUCGGCCCUGAGUAAAGCGGCGGACGGGUGAGUAAUACGUAGGUAAUUUUCCCUUGAGCGGGGGACAACGUUCCGAAAGGGACGCUAAUACCGCAUAAGUUCCCAGAGACCUUGGUCUUUGGGAGGAAAGCUAGGCAGCAAUGUCCGGCACUCGAGGAGAAGCCUGCGUCGCAUCAGCCAGUUGGUGGGGUAAUGGCCUACCAAGGCGAAGACGCGUAGCUGGUCUGAGAGGAUGAUCAGCCACACUGAAACUGAGACACGGUUCAGACUCCUACGGGAGGCAGCAGUGGGGAAUAUUGGACAAUGGGCGCAAGCCUGAUCCAGCCACGCCGCGUGAGUGAUGAAGGCCUUCGGGUCGUAAAGCUCUGUGGGGAGGGACGAACCGCCGGAUGUGCAUAGCAUCCGGCAUGACGGUACCUCCUUAGCAAGCACCGGCUAACUUCGUGCCAGCAGCCGCGGUAAUACGAAGGGUGCAAACGUUGCUCGGAAUUAUUGGGCGUAAAGCGCACGUAGGCGGCUUUGUAAGUUGGAUGUGAAAUCCCUCGGCUCAACCAAGGAAAGUGCAUUCAAAACUGCAAAGCUUGAAUACUUAAGAGGAUCGCGGAAUUCCCGGUGUAGAGGUGAAAUUCGUAGAUAUCGGGAGGAACACCAGUGGCGAAGGCGGCGAUCUGGGAAGAUACUGACGCUGAGGUGCGAAAGCGUGGGGAG